UACAGAGACCUCAAGCGUUAUCCGGAAUUACUGGGCGUAAAGGGCGCGUAGGCGGUCUGCUAAGUUGGAUGUGAAAACUCUGGGCUUAACCCAGAGCCUGCAUUCAAUACUGACAGGCUAGAGUUCUGGAGGGGAUAGCGGAAUUCCUGGUGUAGCGGUGAAAUGCGUAGAUAUCAGGAGGAACACCAAUGGCGAAGGCAGCACUCUGGGACGUGACUGACGCUGAGACGCGAAAGCGUGGGGAGCAAACAGG
rnacentral:rRNA from 1 species